GCUGAAAACCAAUUAACAGGAUCCAUUUUGCUGGUUCUAUUACAAAGGAAUUCUAUUACAAAAUCAGUGAGAAAUAGAAAAGCCACUCUGCACUCUUAGGGUCUGAGGAAACUGAGGACAUGCCCGUGAAAGCUUGCAGAUUUAUGGUGGUCAGCUGAAUUGCCCUGGCAUUGUCAGGACUCACUCAGGCUUUACCUUGGGUAGGCACAACUGCAGGGAUUCCUGAAAACAGUUUAGGGGCUGUUCUCAGUAAUACGAAACUACUGAUAUCUGCCUUUGCAGAUGUCCGCAGCUGACGUCAGGAAUUUCAGGCACCAUUGUGCAAGUUGUGUUCUAACCUGUAAAACUUGUUGCAGUGGUGAUUAGGGAUAUGACAACUUUCAGGUGAGGAUGGCAGAGACUCAGUAAAAUGAUCUCAUGGAAGAGAAGCCAAGAUUUCGGAACUGUGACCUUUUCACUGUCGCAUCAGCCUGGCUAUAAAGUAAUUCUAGACUCUGGUUUAAUGCAGCAGCUUGUGUGUGACUGACACAACAACUGCUUUGCUUCUUGAAACCCAACACAACUGGCUUAUGAUUCCUGCCAUUACUGUUUUCUUUUUCUACAUCCUUAAGUGUACUUCAGCUUUUAGCUAUGAUCCUAUCACUGUUGUUAAAAUAUUUAAUUGUAAAUAUUUCUUAAUUAAAGAAAAUUAAUUCUAAUUCUGCUGAUUCUUAGAACUUUAAA